GAUGAACGCUGGCGGCGUGCUUAACACAUGCAAGUCGAACGAUGAAGCCCAGCUUGCUGGGUGGAUUAGUGGCGAACGGGUGAGUAACACGUGAGUAACCUGCCCUUAACUCUGGGAUAAGCCUGGGAAACUGGGUCGAAUACCGGAUAGGAGCGUCCACCGCAUGGUGGGUGUUGGAGAGAUUUAUCGGUUUUGGAUGGACUCGCGGCCUAUCAGCUUGUUGGUGAGGUAAUGGCUCACCAAGGCGACGACGGGUAGCCGGCCUGAGAGGGUGACCGGCCACACUGGGACUGAGACACGGCCCAGACUCCUACGGGAGGCAGCAGUGGGGAAUCUUGCACAAUGGGCGCAAGCCUGAUGCAGCGACGCCGCGUGAGGGAUGACGGCCUUCGGGUUGUAAACCUCUUUCAGUAGGGAAGAAGCGAAAGUGACGGUACCUGCAGAAGAAGCACCGGCUAACUACGUG
rnacentral:rRNA from 1 species